UACAAAUCUAUUACAUUUAUUGAGAAUUAUUGCAGAAUUGAACUGUGUUGAUAUGUUCCUACAAGAUUACAACUGGUUGUACUGUAAGUCUUCUGAGUACCAGCUCAGUACCCCUCACCUUCCUGGUUAUAUCGUAGAGAAAAUCUGACUUUGCCACAACUACGUUCAUAUUUUGUACAAUACAAGACAGUGUUUCGGAGGGUGACAGUUCCUUCGCUUAAGUACACCAAGACUUCUUUUGAGAUGAGGAUAAGAAUUAGGACCGGUGUCCAGCUUUCCCUGUACGAAAGACAGAAAUUCGAAGGGUGACAGUUCCAUCUCUUAAAUACACCAAAACUUCAUUUGAGAUGAGGAUAAGAAUUUCAUUUUGGACCGGUGUCCGAUGGAAGGGAAGUUAUGUUUCUCUGUCAGCUUGCCAAAUGUUUUCUAUCCUUCACUGCAAUCGUCAAAAACACGGAGUCUACUUAAAGAUCAUGAACAUUUUCAACAUUCGUCUGAA